AGAGGAGCCGCAGCCAUGUCCGCCCACCUGCAGUGGAUGGUCGUGCGGAACUGCUCCAGCUUCCUGAUCAAGAGGAACAAGCAGACCUACAGCACUGAGCCCAACAACCUGAAGGCUCGCAACUCGUUCCGCUACAAGGAGCUGAUUCACGCAAGACCGUGGGCGUGGAGCCGGCGGCCGACGGGAAAGGCGUGGUGGUGGUCAUGAAGCGGAGAUCUGGCCAGCGGAAACCCGCCACCUCCUACGUUCAAACCACCAUUAACAAGAAUGCCCGGGCCACCCUCAGCAGCAUCCGGCACAUGAUUCGCAAGAACAAGUACCGCCCAGAUCUGCGCAUGGCUGCCAUUCGCAGAGCCAGCGCCAUCCUGCGCAGCCAGAAGCCUGUGAUGGUGAAGAGGAAGCGGGCCCGCCCCACCAAGAGCUCCUGAGCACCUGCCCCUGCCUCUAAAGCAAUAAAGAUGUCAGC